rnacentral:rRNA from 1 species
GACGAACGCUGGCGGCGUGCUUAACACAUGCAAGUCGAACGGAAAGGCCCUGCUUUUGUGGGGUGCUCGAGUGGCGAACGGGUGAGUAACACGUGAGUAACCUGCCCUUGACUUUGGGAUAACUUCAGGAAACUGGGGCUAAUACCGGAUAGGAGCUCCUGCUGCAUGGUGGGGGUUGGAAAGUUUCGGCGGUUGGGGAUGGACUCGCGGCUUAUCAGCUUGUUGGUGGGGUAGUGGCUUACCAAGGCUUUGACGGGUAGCCGGCCUGAGAGGGUGACCGGCCACAUUGGGACUGAGAUACGGCCCAGACUCCUACGGGAGGCAGCAGUGGGGAAUAUUGCACAAUGGGCGGAAGCCUGAUGCAGCAACGCCGCGUGCGGGAUGACGGCCUUCGGGUUGUAAACCGCUUUCGCCCGUGACGAAGCGUGAGUGACGGUAAUGGGUAAAGGAGCACCGGCUAACUACGUG